AUUGAACGCUGGCGGCAUGCUUUACACAUGCAAGUCGAACGGUAACAGGCCGCAAGGUGCUGACGAGUGGCGAACGGGUGAGUAAUGCAUCGGAACGUGCCCAGUCGUGGGGGAUAACUACUCGAAAGAGUAGCUAAUACCGCAUACGAUCUAUGGAUGAAAGCGGGGGACCGUAAGGCCUCGCGCGAUUGGAGCGGCCGAUGUCAGAUUAGGUAGUUGGUGGGGUAAAGGCUCACCAAGCCAACGAUCUGUAGCUGGUCUGAGAGGACGACCAGCCACACUUGGACUGAGACACGGCCCAGACUCCUACGGGAGGCAGCAGUGGGGAAUUUUGGACAAUGGGGGCAAGCCUGAUCCAACAAUGCCGCGUGGAGGAAGAAGGCCUUCGGGUUUUAAAACGCUUUUGUACGGGACGAAAAGGGUCUGGGUAAUACCCCGGGCUAAUGACGGUACCGUAAGAAUAAGCACCGGCUAACUACGUG
rnacentral:rRNA from 1 species